rnacentral:rRNA from 1 species
UACGUAGGGUGCGAGCGUUGUCCGGAAUUAUUGGGCGUAAAGAGCUUGUAGGCGGUUUGACGCGUCUGCCGUGAAAGCCCAGGGCUUAACCCUGGGUCUGCGGUGGGUACGGGCAGACUAGAGUGUGGUAGGGGAGACUGGAAUUCCUGGUGUAGCGGUGAAAUGCGCAGAUAUCAGGAGGAACACCGGUGGCGAAGGCGGGUCUCUGGGCAAUAACUGACGCUGAGGAGCGAAAGCGUGGGGAGCGAACAGG